rnacentral:pre_miRNA from 1 species
UUUUUAUUGGAUGAUGACUAUCACAUGUCAAGUUCUGAUUGGUUAAUAAAAACAACAAUGCAUUUCAUCUUUCAUGGAGUUGACAUCCAAUCAGAACAUGACAUAUGACAAUCAUCAUCC